UUAACAUUGUUCGAGCUUCAUUUGCAAAACAGAGAUGAAUUACCUCUGCCAUUAUUCUACUAUGACAUUGGAGUAGAUUGAAUAAAUAUGAAAAAUAGUUAAUGCACACUACGAGGUGCCAUAGCAUCGUUUUCAAUAGCCUCUAUAACUUUAGUUUGAAUUACAACUAAUGGAGUGGUCCAAAAUGGGUAUUAGAUUAUUCCAUUUGAUUUGAUUAUUGAUUGGUUUCCUUUAUUUUGAAAAAAAAAGAGAAAAUAAGAAAGAAGAGUUAAGUUGUUCGAGCAGUUUUUGUUAGGAGAUUGAAAUGUAGGUCUAUAAGUUUACCACUUAAUUUUUUAUUGUAUAUUUUAUAUACAUUAAUCAAAAGAAAAAGUUUAUAUAAGGUUGUGAUGCACUUCAAAAAUCCAUCUAAAAAUAUUGUUUUAAUAUUUUU
rnacentral:lncRNA from 1 species